AGUGAACGCUGGCGGUAGGCCUAACACAUGCAAGUCGAACGGCCGCACAGUAAGCGUUUUCCUUUAAGGGUGGCGGGUGGCGGGUGGGUAACGCGUACAUCGGAAUCUUAUUUUUCGUGGGGAAUAUCGUAGGGCCACUUCCGAUACUACCGAAUAUGAUCUACCGCAGAAAGCAAUGGAUAUUCGGACUUUUCGCGUCUGAUUGAGACGAUGUCGGAUUAGCUAGUUGGCGUGGUAAAGGCCCACCAAGGCAACGAUCCGUAGCUGAUCUGAGAGGAUGAUCAGCCACACUGGAACUGAGACACGGUCCAGACUCCUACGGGAGGCAGCAGUGGGGAAUAUUCGGCAAUGGGCGCAAGCCUGAUCCAGCCAUACCGCGUGAGUGAAGAAGGCCUUCGGGUUGUAAAGCCCUUUUAUUAGGAAAGAAAAGCAGCAGGAUAAUACCCCGCUGUUCUGACGGUACCCAAAGAAAAAGCACCGGCUAACUACGUG
rnacentral:rRNA from 1 species